GGAGGGGGUGACUAGUGACAGAGUGAGGGAAGGGGUGACUAGUGGCAGAGUGAGGGAAGGGGUGACUAGUGGCAGAGUGAGGGAAGGAAGGGGUGACUAGUGACAGAGUGAAGGAGGUGGUGACUGUCACUAGUCACCCCCUCCCCUCCCUCUCUCUGUCACUAGUCACCCCCUCCCUCACUCUGUCACUAGUCACCCCCUCUCUCACUCUGUCACUAGUCACCCCCUCCCUCACUAUGUCACUAGUCACCCCCUUCC